CGGCACGUAGCGCAGCCUGGUAGCGCACCGUCAUGGGGUGUCGGGGGUCGGAGGUUCAAAUCCUCCCGUGCCGACCA
rnacentral:tRNA from 2 species